GAUGAACGCUGGCGGCGUGCCUAAUACAUGCAAGUCGAGCGAACGGACGAGAAGCUUGCUUUUCUGAUGUUAGCGGCGGACGGGUGAGUAACACGUGGAUAACCUACCUAUAAGACUGGGAUAACUUCGGGAAAACGGAGCUAAUACCGGCUAAUAUUUUGAACCGCAUGGUUCAAAAGUGAAAGACGGUCUUGAUGUCACUUAUCGAUUGAUCCGCGCUGCAUUAGCUAGUUGGUAAGGUAACGGCUUACCAAGGCAACGAUGCAUAGCCGACCUGAGAGGGUGAUCGGCCACACUGGAACUGAGACACGGUCCAGACUCCUACGGGAGGCAGCAGUAGGGAAUCUUCCGCAAUGGGCGAAAGCCUGACGGAGCAACGCCGCGUGAGUGAUGAAGGUCUUCGGAUCGUAAAACUCUGUUAUUAGGGAAGAACAUAUGUGUAAGUAACUGUGCACAUCUUGACGGUACCUAAUCAGAAAGCCCCGGCUAACUACGUG
rnacentral:rRNA from 1 species